rnacentral:rRNA from 1 species
UUGGAGGGCAAGUCUGGUGCCAGCAGCCGCGGUAAUUCCAGCUCCAAUAGCGUAUAUUAAAGUUGUUGCAGUUAAAAAGCUCGUAGUUGAAUUUCGGGGUUAGUAGGUUGGUCAUGCCUCUGGUAUGUAUUGGUCUCACUGAUUCCUCCUUCCUGAUGAGCCGUAAUGCCAUUAAUUUGGUGUUGCGGGGAAUUUGGACUGUUACUUUGAAAAAAUUAGAGUGUUUAAAGCAAGCUAACGCUUGAAUACAUUAGCAUGGAAUAAUGAAAUAGGACGUUCGAUCCUAUUUUGUUGGUUUCUAGGAUUGACGUAAUGAUUAAUAGGGAUAGUUGGGGGCAUUAGUAUUCAAUUGUCAGAGGUGAAAUUCUUGGAUUUAUUGAAGACUAACUACUGCGAAAGCAUUUGCCAAGGAUGUUUUCAUUAAUCAAGAACGAAAGUUGGGGGAUCGAAGACGAUCAGAUACCGUCGUAGUCUUAACCAUAAACUAUGCCGACUAGGGAUCGGAUGAUGUUAAUUUUUUAAUGACUCAUUCGGCGCCUUACGGGAAAC